CAAUUAGGUAGUUGGCAGGGUAGAAGCCUCCCAAGCCGACGAUUGAUAGUCAAGUUUGAUAGAACAGAUGACCACAUUGGGAAUGAAAUCUCCCAAGUAGCGUAAAGCUACCAGCAGUCGAGAAUAUUAGUCAAUGCUCGCAAGAGUGAACUAGCUAACUGAAAUCAAUGAUGUGUCAUUGUUGAUAAAGUAAGGGAAAAGAAAUGAUACUACCUUACUAUUAGUGUCGUCCAAAGACUCGUGCCAGAAGACUCGGUAAGGCGAGAGACGCAAACGUUAGUCGUCCUAAUCAGGCGUAAAGGGUUUGUAGGCUGCUUUAAAAGUUUUAUUUUUCUAAAUAAAUAAUAGAACUAAUAUAAAUGAAUUAAAGCUAGAAUCAAAUAGAGGUAACAUAAAUAAUACUCAGUUUAAGGUUAACAUCUGCAAACACUGUGUGGAAUAUUAACGGCGAAGGCUUUUUACCAAUAAUGAUUGACGCUGAGAAACUAAGGUGAGAACAGAAAAAAGGAUUAGAGACCCUAGUAUCUCUCACUGUCAACGAUGAAUGGUAGUUACUAGAUACUAUUUAAAUAAUUUAGUCUAGAGACGAUGUUAACACGAAAACCAUUCCGCCUUGUGAAUACGACUGCAAAGUUGAAAACAAAAAAAUUAGUCGGUUUCGGAGCAAACGGAGUGAAGCAUGUUAUUUAAUACGAUACCCCGCGUAAAAUCUUACCAGUUCUUGCAUAAAACUUUAAUAUUAAUUAUAUUUUCUGAAGAAAUAGCUAUUAUUAUUUAUUAGUAAUAAGAGUAAAAGUCUUGAGA
rnacentral:rRNA from 1 species